AACGAACGCUGGCGGCAUGCCUAACACAUGCAAGUCGAACGAAGGCUUCGGCCUUAGUGGCGCACGGGUGAGUAACGCGUGGGAAACUGCCUAUUGGUGGGGAAUAACGACGGGAAACUGUCGCUAAUACCGCAUAAGCACUUCGGGGGAAAGAUUUAUCGCCGAUAGAUGUGCCCGCGCCAGAUUAGCUAGUUGGUGAGGUAAUGGCUCACCAAGGCGACGAUCGGUAGCUGGUCUGAGAGGAUGAUCAGCCACACUGGGACUGAGACACGGCCCAGACUCCUACGGGAGGCAGCAGUGGGGAAUAUUGGACAAUGGGCGAAAGCCUGAUCCAGCAAUGCCGCGUGAGUGAUGUAGGCCUUAGGGUUGUAAAGCUCUUUCGGGUGGGACGAUGAUGACGGUACCACCAGAAGAAGCCCCGGCUAACUUCGUGCCAGCCGCCGCCGUAA
rnacentral:rRNA from 1 species